rnacentral:rRNA from 1 species
GAGUUUGAUCAUGGCUCAGAACGAACGCUGGCGGCAUGCCUAACACAUGCAAGUCGAACGAAGGCUUCGGCCUUAGUGGCGCACGGGUGCGUAACGCGUGGGAAUCUGCCCUUUGCUUCGGAAUAACAGUGGGAAACUACUGCUAAUACCGGAUGAUGUCUUCGGACCAAAGAUUUAUCGGCAAGGGAUGAGCCCGCGUAGGAUUAGGUAGUUGGUGGGGUAAAGGCCUACCAAGCCGACGAUCCUUAGCUGGUCUGAGAGGAUGAUCAGCCACACUGGGACUGAGACACGGCCCAGACUCCUACGGGAGGCAGCAGUGGGGAAUAUUGGACAAUGGGGGGAACCCUGAUCCAGCAAUGCCGCGUGAGUGAUGAAGGCCUUAGGGUUGUAAAGCUCUUUUACCAGGGAUGAUAAUGACAGUACCUGGAGAAUAAGCUCCGGCUAACUCCGUGCCAGCAGCCGCGGUAAC